GCGUCGGUAGGUAAGUGGUCAAAACCGGCACGCUGUAGACGUGCAGCCUUCGGGCUUCGUUGGUUCGAAUCCAACCCGGCGCA
rnacentral:tRNA from 1 species